AUUUGAAAAAUUCUUUCAAUUACUUGAAAAUUAUAAUGAAUAUUUUUAGGAGUUUUUAAAAUAUUAAAUAUAUUAUUUUUGUAAAAGUUUGAUGUUUAAAUAUUUUCUGAACGCAAUUAAUUUCUAAAUUGCGUAUAAAUUUCAUAAGUACUCGAUAAAUCUCAAAACUUUUAUUUCAUUGGUCUUAUAACAUUCCGGGAUUUAUAAAAAUAUUUCGGUAGCUGUCGGAAGAAAUUUUACUGCAAGUUUUUCCCUGAAUUAGUUGAUAUCGGGUAUUUAGGAUUGAAUAUCAGAUUAAAAGGAGGUGUGACAUGUGUCCCAAUAUUCCACCGCCUAUACUCCCUUUCUUCUUUCCUUUUCUAUAUUUCAUCACUUUUAAAACAUCAAGUCUCAGUCUCUCGCAUCUCUCGUUGUUGAGCCUCAACUAGUGUUCUCUUCCUCCUCUCUGCCUUUUCAAUCUUGCAACCGUGUGAUUAAUUAGGAGAGAGUGAAAUUAGGGUUUGGGAUUUUUCAACCAAUCAAAGAAUAGAUCAAGACGUGUAUAUCGAGAAGGUUCAGAAUUAUUCUGAUGGUGUUUCAAGUUGAAGCAAGAAUAAUCUGAAAAGACAAGCGGAGAAAGAGUAUAGUCAGAAGCUACUUAGAAAAACACGAUUGUGCGGUAUAGUGCUAUUAGAAUGGUGGCUAAACAUAGGAGUUAAGGCAAGUAUUUCUACCCUUAGUUAAGAGUAAGCGAUUUUUAUCUUCUUCUUGACCCUGACCUCUCUUUCAUGACAUGAUUCAUUUUUAUCGUGACAUCAUUCUUGUGAAUCAUGUUUAGUAAUUGAAUACCUGCAGUUGAAUUGAUAAUACCUUUGACUCACUAUUUAAACUUUGAUUUUGAUAAAAGAUUUUCAAACUACUAAAAGUAGUAACUAUUUUGAUUUGCUACAAAAUAAAUUUGUUUAACAAGAAAAGCCACUUGAAUUCUUGAAUUUACCAAAUCAUGUUAAAGCUGUAGCUUUUAAAUUUAAUAUAUUGGGUAGUUUUGCGUAAGAGGCUCAGACAUCGGCCCAGCGUGAAAGGUGGCUCCUUCAGCCCGGAUUACCGGAAUUCGUAAUAUUUGUCGACCUUGCUGAAUAAGCUUGGUUUAUGGACUAUAGCAUGACUGAUCAUCUGUUAUAGCCAGGUGUCUUAUUUAAACCCAAUUAAAUAUUGAUUAGUUUCAAAGGAGAUUAUCUUAUGUUCAAAAGAUAAUGGAAGUUAUUUUUAUUUCUACAGCUUUAAAUUCAUAUAUUGAUGCAGAACUGUUUUAUCAUUGUUUACCAUUUUACUCUUUUAUACUGAACUGUUGGUUUACAACAUCAUGUUUAAUCCAGAGUUUACUUUCACUUCAACAUUCUGAUUCACUUAAAUAUAUAUAUCUUGUUGCUUCCACCUAUCAUAUUCUUGCUGAGCAUUAUUGCUCAUUCUUGCUAUUCCUUCUAACCUUUUUCAGCUAGGGAUAAAGAUGAUUCACUAAAGACUGCGCGUAAAGAGUAAUGAUAGGCAAUGAUUGCAAGUGGUUGAGUUCAGGAAAAUUGUUAGGUAGGGUAUCCGGGACGAUGUGAUUAAGACUAGAUGCAGUUGGAGUUCUGCAAUUCAAUUCAGUUGGAAAUGAGAUUUGUUUAUUUGGUUAUCAGCUACUCUUCUUAUCGAUGUUUAGCUGAUAAUGCAGUUUAAUUUGUAAUUAAAUUUGAUAGUUUUAGUUUCUGAUUUCAAUGCUGUAACCUGUAUGCGAUCCUGUUUUCAGGGGGUGAAUUUGAUUUUAAUUUAAAUCAUUUUUUUAAAAA